rnacentral:lncRNA from 1 species
CCAGGCUAGGGGUUGAAUCGGAGCUACAGGUGGUGGCCUACACCGAAGCCACAGCAACGCAGGAUCCGAGCCGCAUCUGUGACCUACGCCAUAGCUCACGGCAAUGCCGGAUCCUUAACCCACUGAGCGAGGCCAGGGAUCAAACCCGCAACCGCAUGGUUCCUAGCUGGAUUCGUUUCCGCUGCACCAUGACUGGAACUCCCAAGAGCUCGUUUUAAAAUCAAUGUAUUUGCCAAAUGCCUGGGAACACCUAAUAGCUGCCAAGCACUGUUCUUGGCACUGAGUAAAUAAGUGAAAACAGACAAACACCUCUCGCUCGUGGAGGAAACAUGAUAGUUGGGAGAAUCGCACAAUAGGUGUGAUAAGUAAACACGUGCUCUGCUAAAUUAUGACAGGGUUCUACAGGGGGAUGGAGGUACAGAAGGUGAUGGGGAGAGUCCAGGUGGGCUGUGAUUUUAGAUCACGAAAGCCUAACUCAGCAGGUGCUAUUUGGCUAAGGGCUAGAAGCCAGUGAGCUGUGCUUGAGGAGAGCAUUGUAGGAGAGCAGCCAAGUACAAGGGGCCGCAGUGGACACAGACAUCCAAGUUCCAGGAACUGCAGGAAGCCAGCCAGGCUGGGGGCGUGAGCAAGCAGGACAGUGGCCAAGGCGAGGGCGGACAUUAAUGGGGGGCAUUGCGUGCAGACCACACUACGCUUUUUCAGGCCAUUCUCCAUUGACCUGGGCUUCUACUCAGAGUGAGGUUCCCCGGGAGGGUCUGGCAGGAGGGACGCUUGGAUCUGGCUUAGGUUGGAGCAUCUCACUGACCGCAGUGGUAAGAGACGAAUUUGCAGAAGUGUGGACAUCAGGAGGCGGGCUUGGAAGCCACUGCGAACAUCCAGCUUAGAGACGGGGGUGGCUUGGCCAGGGUGGGAGCUGUGGAGGUGGUGACGGAGACCUUGUAACAGUUGCUGUGAAAUCCUUUUUAAGUGGGUCUUGGACCAAAACUGCAACCAGUCAAUUACUGAGCUGAGGGGCAAAGUCACAUCAGCCCGACUGAAGCAGUAGACAGCGUGCUGGAGUGUUUGUCUCUGAAACUUAUUAAGUCCAGUCCAAGAAAGGCGUGAUGCCAGGCACUGCAGAUGAAAAAGACGUGGGUAACUAUCUUCACCCCUCUGAGAGCUUAAAUCUAGUAAGAGGACAAAAUACCACAGCUAACCAGGGAGGCAGAAGGUGGCUCUAUGCCUUCUUCCAUGAAUAUUUACUGGCUGCAGGGCUAGGUGCUGGCGAUAGAGCCGUGAACAGAAAAGAGGAAUCCCUGCCAUGGGAGUUCCCGUCGUGGCUCAGGGGUAACGAACCCCACUAGCGUUCAGGACGAUGUAGGUAUGAUCCCUGGCCUCGCUCAGUGGGUUAAGAAUCCAGUGAUGCCGUGAGGUGUAGGUCGCAGAUGAGGCUUGGAUCUGGUAUUGCUGGGGCAGGGGUGUAGGCUGGCGGCCACAGCUCCGAUUUGACCCCGAGGCUGGGAACCUCCAUAUGCCGUGGGUGUGGCCCUCAAGAGACAAAAAAAGGAAAGAAGAGAAAAGAAAAUCCGUGCUGUCAUGGAGUUUAUAUUCUCGAAGAGUGAGACAAAAAAUGACCAAGAGAAAUGUGUAAAUUAUAUAGCAGAGUGAAAAGGAACAACAAAGGCCUCCAUGAAGGUCAAACCCACACCCACGCAACAUUGUAACAGGGAAAACUUAAGAACAAUGGGAGAGAAACUGGCUUUAUUAAGUGCUAUGUGCAGUCCACACAUUCGUUCGCAAUAGUGAAAAGAUACGUAAGUGGAGUAAUGAGCCAUGGAAACUAGUUGCACUUCAGGACGUGUUAGUGAAUCCGAAGAGCAAGAUGAUGAGUGAAACACCAAGAGCAAUUUUUACCAUCCACACACACACACACGUCCAUGUGCACCUACACACACAUGAAGCCACAACAUAUUUUAGAAAGAAACAGGGGAAGGGCUCCCCGCCUUCAGGGUCAAAAAGCUUCCUACGUGCUUCGCAUCAUCCGCUGCCAACCCUCAUGGAAGGCGGCUCCAUCCCCUCCCUUCCCAGCGGUGGGUCAGUCUGCAGAUCACUGUCCAGAGCUGUGUGGCGGUGUGGCCUCUGCAGGUGCACGGUCAGUCUCUGUGUGACAAGCCCCACCCUGACGACAGUGCUGACAAUGACCUACUUGCAUCUGUGUCUGGAAGAGCGAGACCCUUCGAGUGGACAGGUCGGCCCUGGGUGAGAAUAAGAUGCCUUCUGUUUCUUUCCUGUCUCCCCGGAAGACUCUGGGGGGGGAGGGUUUGGGGGGACUGGCCUCUUUCUCCCCAUCCUUGGUCACCAUCUCCUGGCCCAGUUCGUCCCCCCAUUCAGCCUCUCCAAGAUCAGUAAAGGUGAUAAACCACUCCUGCCAACCCGCGAGCAGAUAAGAUUCGUGUUUACAGACUCUCCCAUCCCCCUGAUGCGUGAGUUUCAUUUUAAAAAGGGGUUUAGGAGACACAAGCAUUGCAGGAGAUUCUUAUACAAGAAAACGAGUGCAACCCGUAAGCCGCUGCCCAUAAAUUCAGUUAUUCAAGUGAUUACUACGAACUCUGCCACCUUCUCCACUGUACACAGACUAAAUGUUAUUGUUAGUCUGAACCUUCUCACCUCCUCCACGGAGUGCAGAUCGGGAAAUGCUAUGAAUAGUCCUCUCUCCCCCAGCCCCACGCCUUCUGCCACUGGGAAGAUGCUUGCAGGAAGUGCGCUAGGCUUCGAAGGCCAAGGAAUUUUAAUCUUCCCUGUGUCUCGUACUGUUUCACCUUCUUUCUCCUCUUUUCGAAGCACGUUUAUAAGCUGACAAAAGGCUCCGACGUGUUUUGUGUCAUUUAACAUUCACGGUGAGCCUUGGGGACCGUCUUCAGGGCAUCGGCCACGCUCUUCCCUUCGUAGACGAGAAAACUGGGGCUCGGAAGCAGGAAGCCACUUCGCCAAGGUGUCACACCACAAGGAUGUGAUCUAAGCUGUCUUGUGCCAGAUUCCCUGUCCACGCAUCACAACCCAGGUGUGGCCACACAGACCUGCCCUGCUGCAGCCUCACGCAGAGGAGUGGAGUGUCUUCCCCUCUUUCUGCCCAAGGGCACAGAGGGUGCGGGUUGAUCCGUGGGGUGCAGAGGAAGGAACUGGGGGGAGGGCGGCGAGGCUCGUGACUGUCCACACCUGUGUGCGGGGACACCCCGGGAGCCCUCUGUGCUGCACCUGGGCCUCCGGAGUCGGCACGUCCUUGAGCUUCUUCAUGCCUGUGUCUCCCUCUGCACCUGCGACUGUUUCUGCAUCCUUCUUUCCAGUUAUCAAAGAGAAUGUCCUUUCCUGCCUCGGGGUCUUGCCGCAUCCCAGUCUCUCUGUAAGGGCCUCUCUUCCUUAGGGUCUGAUGAUCUCAGCUCAAACGGAACUCACUCAAGCAAGCUGCUGUAGGUUGGGGGUUGGGCUCCCUAAUAAGGAGACAGUCAAGUCCCUAAGACUGGAACCUACGAAUGUGACCGUAUUUAGGAAGGUCACUGCAGAUGCAAUCGAGGGACGAUGAGGUCACACAGGGUCAGGGUGAGCCCUUAUCCAAGGAUGGGUGUCCUCGGACAAAAAGGACAAUGUAUACACAAACACACACAGCGGAAAGGACGCCCGGAUGAUGGGAGCAGAGACGAGAGUGACAGGUCGACAAGCUAAAGGCAGACCCAGGACUGGCAGCAGCCACAGGAGCGAGAGAGAGGCACCAAGAGGUCUCCUCAGAGCCUCCAGAGGAGCCAACUCUGCUGAUAACUGGAUUUCAGAUGUCCAGCCUCCAGAACUGAAAGACAACAUGUUAUGUUUCUGUCCCUUUUUCCACCAGGUUUGUGGUCACUACGACCGCCCUAGGAAGCCCAAACAGAAGAUUUUCUGGCUUUUCCAGAACAAGCCAGGUCAUUCAAGUGCAUCUCUUCGUAGCAUCAGCUAUUUUUUUCUAAAGAGCAUUAUACUGCGGCUUACGGUUAUAUAUUUGAUUUUUUUUUUCUUGGUCUUUUUGCCUUUUCUAGGGCUGCUCUCAUGGCAUAUGGAGGUUCCCAGGCCGGGGGUCGAAUCGGAGCUGUAGCUGCCGACCUACACCAGAGCCACAGCAACGCGGGAUCCGAGCUGCGUCUGCGACCUACACCACAGCUCAUGGUAACGCUGGAUCCCCAACCCACUGAGCAAGGCCAGGGACCGAACCCGCAACCUCAUGGUUCCUGGUCGGGUUCGUUAACCACUGAGACACGACGGGAACGCCUAUAUUUGUUUGAUUUUUUUGAUCAGUAUUUAUCCCUGCACAAAAAUGGGAGCCCUGUGAAAAUGGAGAAUGUUAGGUUUUGCUCACUCUAGAGAGUGAAAAAACCCACAGGGACUAGCAUAAAACAGUAUAGAAUGCAAUGAAUGGUCCCUAAACGAACGAAAGAGUGAGUGAAUGAAUGAACAGACCGACAACUGGCAGGAAGGGAGAAUGGCACUUGGGAUUCUGGCCGGGGAGGAUGCGGAAAGCAUCCACCUGAAACCAAAACGAGGUCUGUGUCUCUUUCCCGAACUGUGCCUCUCGACUCUCUCCAUCCCUGUCGCUCUGACUUCUUGCUUCUGUCAAGUUAGCUUCAGAACAUUUGUCUGUUGAAGUGUCUGUGGGGACUGAUAAGACUGAUAAACCCACUCAUGAGAGCGGGGAAAACUGUCAACCCCGACGCCGAUGAUAAAUACUGUAAAACUGGGAACAACGGAAAACAAAUGAUUUCUCUCCAUAAGUGAAAGGGGCUGCUUUUCUCACUCUUCAUAAAACGGCGCAAUAAUAAUUAUUUGUAUCAUCAAUUUUGUCUAUAAUCCAAAAUGAUAGACAAUUUUUAUUUAGUGGGAACAGAAGUCACAUAUAUUUUUUCCUAUCUUUAGUGUUAGCUAUUUAGGAGCAUAAUCACAUACUCAUUUAUCUUAAAAAGUACAGAAAAAUGAUGCUGCUUAACGGUGAAGGGCAAGAACCCUGGAGCCAGACCCCGGCCUUAAAGAUGAGCUGCAACACUCAGGGUGUGAGCUGGCAUAUAUUACUUAAGCCUUUUUUGCCCAGCUCUUUUUUUUGGGGGGAGCGGGGGGCACGUGAGGCAUGCAGAAGUUCCAGCAACCUGAGCCAUAGCAGUGACAAUGCCAGAUCCUUAACCCACAGAGCUACCAGGGAACUCCUCUCUGCCCAGCUUUUAAUUUCACAGCAUUGUUGUACGGAUGCAAUAAGCUAAGAUAUGAAAAUAUAUAGCAAAAUAACUGGCAACUGGUAAAACUCAAUACAUUUUAGGAUUAUUAUUACUAUUAGACAUCUGGCAUUUGAUGAGACCAUGGUAAGCUGUCCUUGAGAUAAUCUCAUUUAUUUAUGUCACAGCUACAAAUUACAAAUCAUUUUCCUCGUUCAUCUUUCAGAAUGAAAAAGCACUGAACAAAAUAAACUGAAUGACGUGUGGGGUGAGGGAGGACAGAGGGAUUUUGCAAACACAUUUCUUUGUAAUAGAAAUUGCUGAAAGCUUAAUUAAUCUUUUUAUUUUGGCAAAUAGGGGGCAUAAGAUGUCAAAAAAUGGAAUUAAAAUUACUAUGCCCUAUUUCCAUCCUUUUCAAGCCAUUAAUGUAUUCUAUGGUAAUUAAGUUCAAAUUUUUCCACUCUAGUCUUAGUCCUGUCAAGUCAGAAUUUCAAAGGAUUGUUAAAAGUGCAGAUUAACCAAAUCAUGUAUAUGGUUUAAAGACUCAGAAUGACAAACACUAUGGGGGCUGAACUUCUGAUCACACAAACCAGAUUUCAGUAGAAAAAUCAAACCCAUUAAACAUAUCUGUGGUAUUUGUUCCUUCUCAAAGAAAUCCUUUUGACAACAUUUUCCAUGUUUUAUCUGCUCGAGAAUUUUGUGGCCAAUUAAUUAAUAUAUUUAAACUGAUGAUCAGAACAGCCACAAGAGAACUUACCUCUUCUCUUGGAGUCAAAUAGGAUUGCUCCCAUUCAACCUCAGAUUUAAUGUUGACUUGUCUGCUGGCAGUUGCUACUACUUACACUGGGAAGACACUGAAGUUAAAAAAAAAUUCUUUGGGAGUUCCUGUCGUGGCGCAGUGGUUAACGAAUCGGACUAGGAACCAUGAGGUUGUGGGUUCGAUCCCUGCCCUUGCUUAGUGGGUUAAGGAUCCGGUGUUGCCGUGAGCUGUGGUGUAGGUUGAAGACGAAGCUCGGAUCCUGAGUUGCUGUGGCUCUGGCGUAGGCUGGUGGCUACAGCUCCGUUUAGACCCCUAGCCUGGAAGCAGCCCUAGAAAAAGGCAAAAAAAAAAAAAAAAA